GAGGGUAUACUUCAGUAGUAGAGCAUGUGCUUAGCAUGCACGAGGUCCUGGGUUCAAUCCCCGGUACCUACA
rnacentral:tRNA from 1 species